UACGGAGGGUGCAAGCGUUGCUCGGAAUUAUUGGGCGUAAAGGGUAGGUAGGCGGUCUCAUUUGUCUGAGGUGAAAGCCUUGAGCUUAACUCAAGAAGUGCCUUAGAAACGGUGAGACUAGAGUCCUGGAGAGGGUCGUGGAAUUCCCGGUGUAGCGGUGAAAUGCGUAGAGAUCGGGAGGAACACCAGAGGCGAAGGCGGCGACCUGGACAGGCACUGACACUCAACUACGAAAGCGUGGGGAGCAAACAGG
rnacentral:rRNA from 1 species